AUUGAACGCUGGCGGAAUGCUUUACACAUGCAAGUCGAACGGCAGCACGGGGGCAGCCCUGGUGGCGAGUGGCGAACGGGUGAGUAAUACAUCGGAACGUGCCCGGUCGUGGGGGAUAACGUAGCGAAAGUUACGCUAAUACCGCAUACGAUCUGAGGAGGAAAGCGGGGGACCUUCGGGCCUCGCGCGAUCGGAGCGGCCGAUGUCAGAUUAGGUAGUUGGUGGGGUAAAGGCCUACCAAGCCGACGAUCUGUAGCUGGUCUGAGAGGACGACCAGCCACACUGGGACUGAGACACGGCCCAGACUCCUACGGGAGGCAGCAGUGGGGAAUUUUGGACAAUGGGCGCAAGCCUGAUCCAGCCAUUCCGCGUGCAGGACGAAGGCCUUCGGGUUGUAAACUGCUUUUGUACGGAACGAAAAGGCUCUGGCUAAUACCUGGGGCUCAUGACGGUACCGUAAGAAUAAGCACCGGCUAACUACGUG
rnacentral:rRNA from 1 species